CCUUUUCACUGCUUCAGAGCGAUUGCUCUAAUAUGCAAAUAUGACUGUGAUUCUCUCUUGCUUAAAAUAUGCCAAUGGCUCCCUGCGAUCCGCAGGAGACGUUCCAACUUUCUUAGAUUGGCACACGAAACUUUUCUUGACCUGUCCCUGUCCAACAUUCUGGCUUCUUCUGUCACCUCUUGGCGAUCUCAGAGCCCACACUCCUGUCUCAAGGAACCUGUCCUGCUCCUUCUACAACCAGAUCCUUGGACCUACACGUCCCUUCCUCUGUCUGUGCUGCAUUCCCAGCCUGCUUCACCUGGCUGCCACUUGCCAGGCCUUCAGAAGUCAGCUCACAGAUUCCCUCCCUGACUCUGUCACGCUGGAUGAGCUGCCUCCUUUGUGCUGCCCCAGCGGGUGUGUUUACUGUUCCCAGAGCACUGACCACCUGCUGGGCUCCCUUGCUGUAAGGCGAGCAACCCAAGGGCAAGGCAGUGGGAUCCACCUUUGUCUUCUCUCUCCGCAGCACUUGGCACAACGAAGAAGAAAGGACACACAGAGACACAGACACACACAGAGAAGAUGGCUGUGCGACAGCAGAGGUAGAGAUCGGAGCAAUGCAGCUACAAGCCCAAGAACACCAAAAUUGCUGGCGUCUACCAGAAACUAGGAGAGAGGCAAGGAAGGACCAUUCUGCAGAGCCUACAAAGGAAGCAUGACCCUGCUGACACCAUGACUUUGGACUUGUGGCCUCCAGAAUGGGGAGGGAGUACCUUUCUGUCGUUUAAACCACCUAGUUGGAGGUAUUUGCUCUGGCGGCCUUAGGAAACUAGCACAGUACCCAACACGUUUGGUUGGCUCAAUGAAUGGUCUAACCUAUCUCCUCCUUCCUCACAGCCAUGGGAAAAGACCUGUCAACUCUGAGCUGGAAUAUUCUGGUAGUCUUCUGAUUGGUCUCCCUGUGGUAGCUAAAUAGAGUGGCACCUUGAGUUUAUGACUGCAGAUGGAUCCUGUGUUUGUUAGGCUGAUUAUCAGAGAAGUUUUUUCUCACGACCCAACUAUAAGGUUACCUGAAUCCCAGUGCUAAAAAAUGUCACCUCUGCCCUGGGUGAAGCUUUCAUGCAAGGCUCUGCUGGGGCACCUAAAAGGACAAUGAUUCAGGCUAUCACUGAGCUCACAGAGCAAGCCACAGGCCUGUUUUUGCACCUGCUUGCUAAUAAAUGAGAGUCUGCGUGGCAGAUUCUGACACCUGCUUUCAUUAUAACCUACAGAGACCCGUGGCCCGAAGACCUCAUGCAUGUACAUG
rnacentral:lncRNA from 1 species